rnacentral:rRNA from 1 species
GACGAACGCUGGCGGCGUGCUUAACACAUGCAAGUCGAACGGAAAGGCCCUGCUUUUGUGGGGUGCUCGAGUGGCGAACGGGUGUGUAACACGUGAGUAACCUGCCCUUGACUUUGGGAUAACUUCAGGAAACUGGGGCUAAUACCGGAUAGGAGCUCCUGCUGCAUGGUGGGGGUUGGAAAGUUUCGGCGGUUGGGGAUGGACUCGCGGCUUAUCAGCUUGUUGGUGGGGUAGUGGCUUACCAAGGCUUUGACGGGUAGCCGGCCUGAGAGGGUGACCGGCCACAUUGGGACUGAGAUACGGCCCAGACUCCUACGGGAGGCAGCAGUGGGGAAUAUUGCACAAUGGGCGGGAGCCUGAUGCAGCAACGCCGCGUGCGGGAUGACGGCCUUCGGGUUGUAAACCGCUUUCGCCUGUGACGAAGCGUGAGUGACGGUAAUGGGUAAAGAAGCACCGGCUAACUACGUG